UACAGAGGUCCCAAGCGUUGUUCGGAUUCACUGGGCGUAAAGGGUGCAUAGGCGGUCGGGUAAGUCUGACGUGAAAUCUUCAAGCUCAACUUGGAAACUGCGUCCGAUACUAUUCGGCUAGAGGAAUGGAGGGGAGACUGGAAUACUUGGUGUAGCAGUGAAAUGCGUAGAUAUCAAGUGGAACACCAGUGGCGAAGGCGGGUCCCUGGACAACUCCUGACACUGAGGCACGAAAGCUAGGGGAGCAAACAGG
rnacentral:rRNA from 1 species